GACGAACGCUGGCGGCGUGCUUAAUACAUGCAAGUCAACUUGACUUUAGAUAGCAAUAUCGAAAGUAGGGUGGCGCACGGUGCGUAACGCGUAGGUAAUCUGCCCUGAGGUCUGACAUAACCCGUCGAAAGGCGGGCUAACAUCAGAUGAUAUAUAAUCACGACAUCGUGGAAAUAUCAAAUCUUCGGAGCCUUGGGAUGAGCCUGCGUCUGAUUAGGUAGUUGGCGGAGUAAUAGCCCACCAAGCCUACGAUCAGUAGCUGGUCUGAGAGGAUGAUCAGCCACACUGGAACUGAGACACGGUCCAGACUCCUACGGGAGGCAGCAGUAAGGAAUAUUGCUCAAUGGGGGAAACCCGUAGAAGCAGCAACG
rnacentral:rRNA from 1 species